rnacentral:rRNA from 1 species
UACCAGCCCCCGCGAGUGGACACGACGAUUAUUAAGCCUAAAGCGUCCGUAGCCGGCUCUGUAAGUCCUCCCUUAAAUGGCACGGCUCAACCGUGCCGCUGGGGAGGAUACUACAGAGCUAGGGGGCGGGAGAAGCGGGCGGUACUCGGGAGGUAGGGGCAAAAUCCUUUAAUCUCCCGAGGACCACCAGUGGCGGAGGCGGCCCGCUAGAACGCGCCCGACGGUGAGGGACGAAAGCUGGGGGAGCAAAAGGGAUUAGAUACCCGAGUAGU